GCCAGCCCUCCUGUCACCUCCACACCGCGCUGGGCCCUCGGACCGCCCCAAGGCCCCCGCCGCCGCUGCAGCGCUGCACAGCCACUGCUACCCUCGCCUCUCCUUAGCCACCGCCAUGACGACCGCGUCCCCCUCACAGGUGCACCAGAACUACUACCAUGACUCAAGAGGCCGCCAUCAACCGCCAGAUCAACCUGCAGCUCUACGUCGUCUACCUGUCCAUGUCUUGCUACCUUGACCGCGAUGAUGCGGCUUUGAGGAACUUUGCCAGGUACUUUCUUCACCAAUCUCAUGAGGAGAGGGAACAUGCCGAGAAACUGAUGAAGCUGCAGAACCAACGAGGUGGCCGCAUCUUCCUCCGGGAUAUCAGGAAACCAGAGCAUGAUGACUGGGAGAGCAGGCUGAAUGCCAUGGAGAGUGCAUUAUCUUUGGGAAAAAAUGUGAAUCAGUCACUACUGGAACUGCACAAACUGGCCACUGACAAACAUGACCCCCAUUCGUGUGACUUCAUUGAGACGCACUACCUGAAUGAGCAGGUGAAAUCCAUCAAAGAAUUGGGUGACCACGUGACCAACUUGCGCAAGAUGGGAGCAUCCCAGUCUGGCUGGGCAGAAUAUCUCUUUGACAAGCACACCCUGGGAGACAGUGAUAAUGAAAGCUAAGCCUUAGGCUGAUUUCCCCAUAGCCCCGGGGUGACUUCCCUGGUCACCAAGGCAGUGCAUGCAUGUUGGGGUUUCCUUUACCUUUUCUAUAAGUUGUACCAAAACAUCCACCUAAGUUCUUUGUACCAUUUGUU